rnacentral:rRNA from 1 species
GAUGAACGCUAGCGGCAGGCUUAAUACAUGCAAGUCGAGGGGCAGCAUGAUUGUAGCAAUACAAUUGAUGGCGACCGGCAAACGGGUGCGGAACACGUACACAACCUUCCAAUAAGUGGGGAAUAGCCCAGAGAAAUUUGGAUUAAUACCCCGUAACAUAACGAUGUGGCAUCACAUUGUUAUUAUAGAUUUUUCGCUUAUUGAUUGGUGUGCGGCUGAUUAGAUGGGUGGCGGGGUAACGGCCCACCAAGUCUACGAUCAGGAGCUGAUGUGAGAACAUGAUCAGCCACACGGGAACUGAGACACGGGCCCGACUCCUACGGGAGGCAGCAGUAAGGACUAUUGGACAAUGGACGCAAGUCUGAUCCAGCCAUGCCGCGUGAAGGAUUAAGGUCCUCUGGAUUGUAAACUUCUUUUAUAAGGGACGAAAAAAGGCUUUUCUAUGUCGUCUGACGGUACCUUAUGAAUAAGCACCGGCUAACUCCGUGCCAGCAGCCGCAGUAAAAC